UUAGAUUUAUAUUUGUCUUUUUUGUAUUUUUUGUAUUUUUUCUUUUUCUUAUACAAUUUUUCUGGCAUAUUUUUUCUAUCAAGGUAAUAUCCAAAUUGUUCACAAAAGUCACAAAGUUCUUUCCGUUUGGUGAUCUUUUGUUUAUCUAAUUGUCUUUUAAGAUUCAUAUCAGUGCAUAAGGCUAAGCCUUCAACACAUAUUUCUGCGAAGAGUUCUCCGAGUGUAUAAGCU
rnacentral:lncRNA from 1 species